rnacentral:rRNA from 1 species
CAGUCGCCGCGGUAAUACGGAGGAUCCAAGCGUUAUCCGGAUUUAUUGGGUUUAAAGGGUGCGUAGGUGGCCUGUUAAGUCAGGGGUGAAAGACGGUAGCUCAACUAUCGCAGUGCCCUUGAUACUGAUGGGCUUGAAUGAACUAGAGGUAGGCGGAAUGUGACAAGUAGCGGUGAAAUGCAUAGAUAUGUCACAGAACACCAAUUGCGAAGGCAGCUUACUAUGGUUUUAUUGACACUGAGGCACGAAAGCGUGGGGAUCAAACAGGAUUAGAUACCCCAGUAGUCCCUGUCUCUUAUAC